GGAAGUAAAAGUCGUGACAAGGUUUCCGUAGGUGAACCUGCGGAAGGAUCAUUAUCGUACAAAAUGUGAGGGGCAUGCGAGGGCUGUCGCUGACCCAAAAGUCGUGCACGCCCGAGUGUGUCCUCUUGCAUAAUAAUCCAUCUCACCCUUAGUGCAUCACCGCGUGGGCACCCUUCGGGAUCAUCUCGGAGGGGGGCUCGCGUUUUCACACAAACCCCCCUUUUAAAAGUGUAGAAUGACCACAUUUAUGCAAUCAAUACAACUUUCAACAACGGAUCUCUUGGCUCUC
rnacentral:misc_RNA from 1 species